AUGAAAACACUGGGCAGGACACAACUUCUGAAAAUAGCCGAAUGCAGAGACAGCAGUGGCAAACCUGGUUUAAUAAGCCCCUCUACAUGCUCCUGCUGUGAUGACUGCCUCCCCCCAGGCCCAAAAACAACAGGGCCAACUGACCAUGGACCUGAAUCUCUGGACUGUGAACCAAAACAAACCUUUUGUCUUUAUAAGUUUAUUUUCUCAGAGCAGCAGCAUGCUCCAGGUGGUGAGCCAAUAGCAAUGACCUCACUGAGCAGGAAGCAAAACAUCAUACAGGGAUAA
rnacentral:lncRNA from 1 species